rnacentral:rRNA from 1 species
GACGUAGGGCGCGAGCGUUGUCCGGACUUAUUGGGCGUAAAGAGCUCGUAGGCGGCUUGUCGCGUCGACUGUGAAAACCCGCGGCUCAACUGCGGGCCUGCAGCCGAUACGGGCAGGCUAGAGUUCGGUAGGGGAGACUGGAAUUCCUGGUGUAGCGGUGAAAUGCGUGGAUAUCGAGAGGAACACCUGCGGCGAAGGCGGGUUGCUGGGCUGACACUGACGCUGAUGCGCGAAAGCCAGGGGAGCGAACGGG